UCCCAGGUGGCUCAGUGGUAAAGAACCUGCCUGCCAACGCAGGAGACGCAGGUUCGAUCCCUGGGUUGGGAA
rnacentral:tRNA from 1 species